UCACCAUGUAUUUUGCUGCAUUAUUUCUGCUCCUUGCAGCUGCAGAUGUGAGAUGCGAACAGUUGACACAGCCAGCCUCUAUGACUGUGCAGCCAGGUCAGUCUUUGACCAUCAGCUGUCAGGUCUCUUAUUCUGUUGGUAGCUACGAGACACACUGGAUCCGACAGCCUGCAGGAAAAGCACUGGAGUGGAUUGGUUACAUGUGUGAUGGAUGCAGCGGAAAUCGCAAGGAUUCUUUAAAGAACAAGUUCAGUAUUACAGUUCAUGCUUCCAGUAAAACUGUGACUCUGAACGGAAACAAUAUGCAACCCCAAGACACUGCUGUGUAUUACUGCGCAAGACGGCCACAGUGA